GAUGAACGCUGGCGGCGUGCCUAAUACAUGCAAGUCGAGCGAACAGACGAGGCGCUUGCUCCUCUGACGUUAGCGGCGGACGGGUGAGUAACACGUGUAUAACCUACCUAUAAGACUGGGAUAACUUCGGGACACCGGAGCUAAUACCGGAGAAUAUAUUGAACCGCAUGGUUCAAUAGUGAAAGACGGCUUUGCUGUCACUUAUCGAUGGAUCCGCGCCGCAUUAGCUAGUUGGUACGGUAACGGCUUACCAAGGCAACGAUGCGUAGCCGACCUGAUAGGGUGAUCGGCCACACGGGAACUGAGACAGGGUCCAGACUCCUACGGGAGGCAGCAGUAGGGAAUCUUCCGCAAUGGGGGAAAGCCUGACGGAGCAACGCCGCGUGUGUGAUGAAGGUCUUCGGAUCGUAAAACUCUGUUAUGAGGGAAGAACAAAUGUGGAAGUAAAUAUGCACGGCUUGACGGUAACUAAUCAGAAAGCAACGGCUAACUACGUG
rnacentral:rRNA from 1 species